UACAGAGGGGGCAAGCGUUGUUCGGAAUUACUGGGCGUAAAGGGCGCGUAGGUGGUGAGGUAAGUCGGAUGUGAAAUCUCCGGGCUCAACCCGGAAAUGGCAUUGGAAACUACCUUGCUGGAGGAUUUGAGGGGGGAUUGGAAUACUUGGUGUAGCAGUGAAAUGCGUAGAUAUCAAGUGGAACACCAGUGGCGAAGGCGAAUCCCUGGAAAAUACCUGACACUGAGGCACGAAAGCUAGGGGAGCAAACAGG
rnacentral:rRNA from 1 species